rnacentral:rRNA from 1 species
CCUACGGGAGGCAGCAGUGGGGAAUAUUGGGCAAUGGGCGCAAGCCUGACCCAGCAACGCCGCGUGAAGGAAGAAGGCUUUCGGGUUGUAAACUUCUUUUCUCAGGGACGAAGCAAGUGACGGUACCUGAGGAAUAAGCCACGGCUAACUACGUGCCAGCAGCCGCGGUAAUACGUAGGUGGCAAGCGUUAUCCGGAUUUACUGGGUGUAAAGAGCGUGUAGGCGGGACUGGAAGUCAGAGGUGAAAACCACGGGCUCAACCUGUGGCCUGCCUUUGAAACUGUAGUUCUUGAGUACAGGUGAGGCAGACGGAAUGCCUAGUGUAGCGGUGAAAUGCGUAGAGAUUAGGAGGAACACCAGUGGCGAAGGCGGUCUGCUGGACAGCAACUGACGUUGAGGCGCGAAAGCGUGGGGAGCAAACAGGAUUAGAUACCCUUGUAGUC